GCCUUGAAAUUCGGAUUUCUUGGAAAUUUACCAAAACAAACAAACUAAAACCAAAACGAGCGGAGCAUAGUUAGCUUCUUUUGAUUAAAUAGAACAGCCUCUCCUUUUCUGUUUCAUCUAGAAAUUCCAGGUGCAAGAUGUCGAACCAGGAAUGCAUUAUCCCGAAAGUAGUCGCUGAUAUUAUUGAGCUUGGUUGUUCAAUGGUUGAAAAAGCCACCACAAUGCUGGCAAAUGUCACCAUGGACGCCAUUCACUUCCUCGACAAUGGGGACACAACCGAGAGUCUGGGUAUGAGCAACGGCCGUGUCCACACCAUGCAGAUGCGCGUAUCUGAUGGGCCAAUUCAAAUAAAAAUAAACUGUUCAUGGAAGGCAGGCAUUUGAAGAAGAAAUAAGUCAAAUAAAGUCACAAACUUUUCAGCAGAGCACAAAGAACAAGGACAUUCUAGGGACGCAUAGGCAUGGCAUUGGUACGUGCCAUGUGGCGAAGUAUUCCUUGCGGUUUAUUCAACUUUUCUCCUAGCCAUACUCCUAGUUGGAGUCCAAUCCAUGGCCCCAACGAAUGUAUCCCAUAACCCACUCGAAAAUGCGUUCAUUAUCUGCGGUUUAAAUAUAUUUCUGCCUUGCAAACAGAUGUACAUACAUACAUACAUAGUUAUUUAAUUACUGGUUUAAUGAUCGUGCAAAAUUAACAAUAAGUAACAAUAGUUUCAUGUUUUCAAUGUCUCGACCUGUCCUUUGUUCAGAUGAACUUAAUAAUAGUACAAAAUAACUUAAGAUAUUAAACAAAAAAACAUAAUAAUAUAAAGGCAUUUAAUAUUUAUGGGGGAAAAAAAACAGAACUGGAUAAUGGAA